rnacentral:lncRNA from 1 species
GGGGAGCAUCAUUUUGCCCCAAAAAUAAACCUGCCACAAUUUUUGCAGAAUUAAUUCAGAGGGCAAUUUGAAAUUCAGUACUAUUACUUGUAUUUUUUUUAUUUUUUUAUUUUUUAUAUUGUACAUGAGAAAUUAUCAGAGAAAAGGCCAUAAAUUGCAUGAUGGAAUCGGAUAUAUAACUCAAAAGGCGCUAAAGUUGAAAAAAAAUCGACUAUAAAGGAAAGGGUUGGUCUCGUAUGUAGUUGACCGUAUCCCAUGCGGUGGAU